AUUAUUUGAUUUUUUAGAAACCAUCAUCAACAACUCCUCCAAACCAAGUCUCCCGAAUCUGCCUUCAUCUCUCUCCAAAAGCUUCAGCAUUUCCGAAAGGAGACUGAGACUAGGUCAAUGUGUUUGAGUUUUGGAGGAGAGAAAGGAAGA